ACCUGCUUUGUGGUCAGUGGACGUAAUGGGUUUAUUUCCUCAGGCACUGAGCAGUAACCAGUACGUGUUAGUGAUGACUGAGCAUGC
rnacentral:precursor_RNA from 1 species